rnacentral:misc_RNA from 1 species
UUGGCUACGCGAGCGCAUGAGUUGUGUUGGACCUGUGACUGCUGAUAGAACCCCCGCCGUGGUGCGGCCGACUGUCGGCACUUGUGUCCCUUCAAUMUUUGGCGAUGGAGAUUGGCCCUUUCACGAGUGCUUGCAUGCUGCUACCAGUCAUGCUGGAAGAUGUAAUCGCUUAUAUGUGCCAUCGUCGUGCUCGUCCUUAGGGCGUGGCUCGUCGACUUGAAAGCAUCCACGUYGUUGCCUCGUGUAGCUAGCCGAAUCGGCUGGCAACAUCAWGGCCRCCUCGUGCUUGCUCUUGGUUUUGGAUGUGGCUAGCGUUGUAGGCCGAAGGCGCUGCGGCGUCACGUGCCUAGCAAAGAAUGUUCAGUCAGAAACGACAGCCGGCUCGGUUGAUGCCUCGUGCAGAAAUCGGUGUUGGCUCGUCGAUGAGGACGUGCUACCUGGUUGAUCCUGCCAGUAGUCAUAUGCUUGUCU